rnacentral:rRNA from 1 species
ACUCCUACGGGAGGCAGCAGUGAGGAAUAUUGGUCAAUGGAGGGAACUCUGAACCAGCCAUCCCGCGUGUAGGAAGACGGCCUUAUGGGUUGUAAACUACUUUUAUACAGGAAGAAACGUACCCUCGUGAGGGUGCCUGACGGUACUGUAGGAAUAAGCACCGGCUAACUCCGUGCCAGCAGCCGCGGUAAUACGGAGGGUGCGAGCGUUAUCCGGAAUCAUUGGGUUUAAAGGUCCGUAGGUGGAUGAUUAAGUCAGAGGUGAAAUCCUGCAGCUCAACUGUAGAAUUGCCUUUGAUACUGGUUGUCUUGAAUUAUUGUGAAGUAGUUAGAAUAUGUGGUGUAGCGGUGAAAUGCAUAGAUAUCACAUAGAAUACCGAUUGCGAAGGCAGAUUACUAACAAUACAUUGACACUGAUGGACGAAAGCGUGGGGAGCGAACAGGAUUAGAUACCCUGGUAGCGACUG